rnacentral:rRNA from 1 species
GAUGAACGCUGGCGGCGUGCUUAACACAUGCAAGUCGAACGGUGAACGAGGGAGCUUGCUCCCUCCGGAUCAGUGGCGAACGGGUGAGUAACACGUGAGCAAUCUGCCCUGGACUCUGGGAUAAGCGUUGGAAACGACGUCUAAUACCGGAUACGAGGCGUGGGGGCAUCCCCAACGCCUGGAAAGAACUUCGGUCCAGGAUGAGCUCGCGGCCUAUCAGCUAGUUGGUGAGGUAACGGCUCACCAAGGCGACGACGGGUAGCCGGCCUGAGAGGGUGACCAGCCACACUGGGACUGAGACACGGCCCAGACUCCUACGGGAGGCAGCAGUGGGGAAUAUUGCACAAUGGGCGCAAGCCUGAUGCAGCAACGCCGCGUGAGGGACGACGGCCUUCGGGUUGUAAACCUCUUUUAGCAGGGAAGAAGCGAAAGUGACGGUACCUGCAGAAAAAGCACCGGCUAACUACGUGCCAGCCGCCGCGGUAACAC